AACGCAGCUUGCACCUGGUGGCAUUCCACCGGGUAUGUCUGUCUGAGUGUUGCUUGACUUUGACUGCAAAGUUUUUUGUGGGACGGUUGUUGGACUUGCUGUGGUGGCUGGUCUGGAAUGGAUUGGCACGGAAGCCUGAUGGAUUGUUGUUUGGUUUAUGACAGCACGCCAGAGGGUGGGGUGCAGCAUGAUUUUUGUUUUAACCUCAGAUCAGGCAGGACUACCCGCUGAACUUAA
rnacentral:misc_RNA from 1 species